rnacentral:rRNA from 1 species
AAUAUUGCACAAUGGAGGAAACUCUGAUUCAGCGACGCCGCGUGAGUGAUGAAGGCUUUCGAGUCGUAUAGCUCUGUCCUAGGGGACGAAAAUGACGGUACCGUAGGAGGAUGCCUCGGCUACCUACGUGCCAGCAGCCGCGGUAAUACGUAGGGGGCCAGCGUUGUCCGGAAUUAUUGGGCGUAAAGGGUUCGCAGGCGGCUUCUUAAGUCAGAUGUGAAAGCCCACGGCUUAACCGUGGUAAGCAUUUGAAACUGGAAGGCUUGAGUUAAGGAGAGGAAAGUGGAAUUCCUAGUGUAGCGGUGAAAUGCGUAGAUAUUAGGAGGAAUACCAGUGGCGAAGGCGACUUUCUGGACUUAUACUGACGCUGAGGAACGAAAGCGUGGGGAGCAAACA